CCUACGGGUGGCUGCAGCAACGAAUAUUCCGCAAUGGGCGAAAGCCUGACGGAGCGACGCCGCGUGCAGGAUGAAGUCCUUCGGGAUGUAAACUGCUGUCGGGGGUUAGAAACACAAUGAUCAGCCCCACAGGAAGCCACGGCUAACUCUGUGCCAGCAGCCGCGGUAAUACAGAGGUGGCAAGCGUUGUUCGGAAUCACUGGGCUUAAAGCGCGUGUAGGCGGGACGGAAGGUGUUUGGUGAAAUCCCCGGGCUCAACCCGGGAACUGCCGGGCAAACCAUCGUCCUUGAGGCAGGUAGAGGUGAUCGGAACCUUAGGUGGAGCGGUGAAAUGCGUAGAGAUCUAAGGGAACGCCGGUGGCGAAAGCGGAUCACUGGGCCUGUCCUGACGCUGAGACGCGAAAGCGUAGGGAGCAAACGGGAUUAGAUACCCUGGUAGU
rnacentral:rRNA from 1 species